CCAUCAUCACAGGCAUCGUCGGGCGCGGGAAAACGCGGGCGGCUCGUGCACGAAACGAACAAAACCGGGCAGCACGGGAGCUGAUGGUCUCUCUCUUGACUGGUCUGGUCCAUCGUCAUGUCUGCCAGGGAUUACGACUUCCAUUAAAAUCCAGUUGCUGGACCUCUCUGUGUCGUCGUUUCGGGGGAAGGAAUGCAUCAACUGGUGGCAGCGGUGCACGGCGGACCUCAUGUGCUUCGAGUAUGUAAAGGUAUAGGCUAGGCCUCGCCUGAGCUGCUUGGGGUGCUUUGGUGGUUUGUCUGCUUCCGUUUGCUCACGCAGUGUUCACAACCCCAACUACAUCUGGAGGCUUCAUACAUGAAUUCCCUCCUGGUCAUCGAACAAACGUCAUCGAUUGGCCACUGUCCAAGCCGCCACCUUCAGGCCCUGGACCUUACUGCGCCAUUGGAUAAAACAUCGCCACCAUCAAGCCACUCCAGAGUCACGGCAGCAAGCCGUCACACCUCCUUGGCUUCCUCUUCAUCGGCGGGGAAAGUUGUCACGACUGUGUCGCUACCGUCGGUCCCGCUCUACUGCCAUCAUCACAGGCAUCGUCGGGCGCGGGAAAACGCGGGCGGCUCGUGCACGAAACGAACAAAACCGGGCAGCACGGGAGCUGAUGGUCUCUCUCUUGACUGGUCUGGUCCAUCGUCAUGUCUGCCAGGGAUUACGACUUUCAUUAAAAUCCAGUUGCUGGA